UACGGAGGAUGCGAGCGUUAUCCGGAUUUAUUGGGUUUAAAGGGUGCGCAGGCGGGAGAUUAAGUCGGCGGUGAAAUUUUGCAGCUCAACUGUAAAAGUGCCUUCGAAACUGGUUUCCUUGAGUGUGGAUGAAGUAGGCGGAAUUUGUGGUGUAGCGGUGAAAUGCAUAGAUAUCACGAGGAACUCCGAUUGCGCAGGCAGCUUACUAAACCAUAACUGACGCUCAGGCACGAAGGCGUGGGGAUCAAACAGGAUUAGAUACCCGGGUAGU
rnacentral:rRNA from 1 species